rnacentral:rRNA from 1 species
UACGUAGGGGGCAAGCGUUGUCCGGAUUUAUUGGGCGUAAAGAGCGUGUAGGCGGCCAGGUAGGUUCAGCUGUGAAAAACUUCGAGGCUCAACCUCGAGACGUCGGGUUGGAAAAGCCAUCUGGGCUAGAGUCCGGAAGAGGAGAGUGGAAUUCCUGGUGUGAGCGGUGAAAUGCGCAGACUAUCAGGAAGAACACCCGUGGCGAAGGCGGCUCUCGUGGAACGCAACUGACGCUGAGACGCGAAAGCGUGGGGAGCAAACAGG